AUGACUAGAUGCAAAAUUCUCUACACCAUGGAUUGGUUUCUAGGACAACUCCUUGCCCUCCUUUGCUGCUGCUGCUUCUUCUACUACCGUCAUCUCCAGUCCAAGAAAGCAUGCAAGGCCGAGCCGACCGAAUGGCCAUUGCUGGGCCAUCUUUUCGGCUUGCUCGCCAACCUGCACCACUACCACGACUGGGCCACCGUCGUCCUGGCCGGCAGGCGCUACAACUUCCCGGCUCACGCGGGGCUCACCGGCGUUCGCUUCUUCCUCACCUGCGACCCGUCCAAUGUGCGCCACAUCUUCACCUCCAACUUCCUCAACUACGCCAAGGGCGAGGAGUAUGCCGAGAUAUUCGACAUCUUGGGCCACGGCAUCUUUAACGCCGACGGCGAGUCCUGGCGCUCUCAGCGUGCCAAGUCCCAGCUCCUCAUGGCCACCCCCCGUUUCCGCUCCUUCUCCGCACGGUGCACCCGCGACAAGGUGGACAAGAGCCUCCUCCCUUUCCUCGCGCACGUUGCGGACGCCGGCGCACGCUGUGACCUGCACGACGUGAUCCUGCGGAUGACCUUCGACAUGACGUGCAACCUCGUCUUCGGGGUCGACCCGGGCUGCCUGCGGAUUGGCCUCCCCGUUGUGCCCGUCGCGCGCGCCAUGGACGACGUGCUGAACGCCACCUUCCUCCGGCACGUCUUCCCGCCGGCGUGCUGGAGCCUCAUGUACCGAUACGAGCUCGGCCCGGAGAAGAAGAUGGCCGUGGCUCGUAGGACCAUCGACCGGUUCGCCGCCGACACCAUUGCCAAACGGAGGUCCGAUCACGAGGUUGGCGUCAAGCAAUCCUCCUCCGACAUGCUCUCUUCCUUCAUCAGCAGCAAUGAUGACGACGUGAGCGACGAGUUCUUGCGUGACACCGCAAUAAACCUCCUGUUCGCCGGUCGGGACACCACCGGCGCGGCGCUGUCGUGGUUCUUCUACCUCGUAUGCAAGAACCCGCACGUCGAGCAGAAGAUCCUAGACGAGCUAGCACGGAUCGCUGCCACCAAGGAGCAGGAAGACAUGGUGGCGUUCGAUGUCAGUGAGCUGAGCAGCUUGGUGUACCUGCACGCGGUGCUGUGCGAGUGCCUCAGGCUUUACCCGCCCCUGCCCUUCCACCACAAGGCGGCAAUUGCCGGCGACGUGCUCCCGAGCGGUCACGAGUUGAAGGCCGGCGACAAGAUACUCGUCUACUCCUACUCCAUGGGGCGGAUGGAGGGUGUGUGGGGCAAGGACUGCAUGGAGUUCAGGCCCGAGAGGUGGGUCACCGACGACGGGAAGCUGAGGCACGAGCCGUCCUACAAGUUCUUGGCCUUCAACGCCGGUCCCAGGACCUGCCUCGGCAAGGACGUGGCCUUCACGCAGAUGAAAGCUGUCGCAGCAGCCGUGCUGUGGAACUUCGCCGUUGAGGCCAUGCCCGGGCACGUCGUGGAGCCCAAGUUGUCCGUUAUGCUUCACAUGAAGAAUGGGCUCGCUGUCACGGUCAAGAGGAGGAAGGUCCCGUGUGUGCAUGCUACCUAG
rnacentral:rRNA from 1 species